UGUGCUCUCUAUAACUGGGUCAAUGGUCUGUCCUCAGCUGUGAGUGACACGUCUACCCAGAUGGGUUCUGACUGUGUCACAGGCCAUUCCUGCCACUCUGGGUGCCACAGGAGAAACCAGACCCACACGGCACCAAGGGGCCACUCUUAGGCCUCUGGCUUGGUUUUGUGGAUUUCCGUGAAUACCCUAAUUGGGGCCUUUGGACACACUGACAGCUUACACACUCAGCGCCUCACACUUCCAUCACAGUCUUUGGCCCCUCGAGGCCCUUUCUUUCCUUUUCUUACUUCGGAGCUGGAAACGUAGCGUUUCUGGGGGCUGAACUCCUGCAAGCCUCAAAACCACACACAGACUCAGUGAGUCAGGGAGCCGGCUGCACAAACGCCUGAGAGUUUUACAGGCUUUUAUUCUCUGCAGGUUUUACAGACAAAGCCCCACAGGGGUCCCAUUUAGGGCUUUGUAGCAGUGUUCAGACAGGAGGGGCGGCUUUUCCUGCUGAAGGGCCCUCCUCUGUGAGCUAAGGGGACCCUGCUUGCUGUCUGCUUGUGGGCCACAGCAAGAUGGCCAUGACCUGGGUGCCUGUCCAGUCUCCCAGGGAUUAUCUUUCUAGCUAAAGUGGCUCUGACUUUCUGAUAUGAAGUGUAUUGGGCCUCACCAGACCACAAACUAUGUCCCUGUGUCCUGCUUCAGUGAAACACCACAGAUGAGCCAUAGAAAAACAGAGGAAAACCUCAGACUAACCCUCCAGCCCUCAGUGGGAAUGGCUUGAUCUACAGCAGGCCCCGUUCCCAGCCGGUAAUGAGAGAGGCCGUCUCAUUCUGAAGGCUGGAAGCAGACUUAGCUUGGGGCCACACUGCAGGGAUCCCACGGCAAGAAGCCAGAUACACCCAGGCAUCUUACCUUCUCCAUAGCACCAGAGUACAUCAGACGGAGCUAGCAGGGAAGCAAAGCUAAGGCCAGGCAGCUACAGAGGACAUUACUAAUGAUCACGGAGACAGUUUCCAAGGUGGUGAGAGGAGAGGACUGGUGUGUCCUGGUGAGCUUUCUGUUGCUGGGAUAAAACACUGACCAAAAGCAACUUGGGGAGGUUUGUUUUUUUGUUGUUGUUGGUUUUUUUUUUGGCUUACUGAUUACCGAUCAUCAUUGAGGGAAACCCAGGCAGGAGCUGAUGCAGAGACCAUGGAGGAACUCUGCUUGUGGCCUUGCUUACCUUUCUUCUACAGCCUAGGUCCACCUGCCUAGAGCCGGCCUGGCCCACCACGGGCCGGGUCCUUCGCUAUCAAUCAACAACAAUCACGAAAAUGUCCCCUAGACAUAAGCACCAGCCAAUCUGAUGGAGGCAAGAGAUGGAGUCACUCUCUUCCUGGGUGACUCUGGUUUGUGUCAAGUUGCCCCAAACUCUAACCAGUACAGGGUGGAAGGCAGAGAGAAUGCUCCUUUGUGGGCCUGUAUAGUUUUAUGAAUGACUGCCUGUUCACUCCUUCCCAGGAUUGGAAAGCUAGCUCACACUUCUUCCUCACCCACCCUCAUUUAAUCCUUGAACUUUGAAAAGGGGUAAGAAGAUCUCCCCCAUUUAUCAGUUGCAUUUCAGCUAAAAGCAUUUUGACCUUCCUGCAGCUGCUGCAUAGGUAAGGCAAGGCGUGACCAAGAUACAAAAAUGUUUUGCCAAGCCUGGCUAGUCUGGGAUGCUGCAGAGGCUGUGCAGGCCCUGGGGCACUUUGUGUUUGGAACUCUGCCACCAUGCUGGUUUUCAAUCUGGCCUGAAGCAGAGGCUCUGGGAGGAGGGAGGAGAGAGGAGGAAGGAAGGACCGUGCACACAGACUCCAGCCUCCUGAAGGUACGGUGCCAGGUGCUGGUGGCCAACUUGUACCUGAGGUUCCAAGCUCUAUAAACCUCAAAAGGCAGAGUGACCCUUACGGAAUCAUUAAAGGGGCUGCCAUGAAGCCUGAACAUGGAUUUCAAGGGCUCAGAGGAUCAUAGGAACACCCAUCUUCAAGAAAUCAAAAGGCCGUGGACACCUAGAUGUCUAAAGCAGAAGCGGAGGACCUGUUGGUACCAAUAUACUCUACAGGGUAAUAUCUCACUGCCUAACAUCAAUAUCUCUUUAACUCUAGAAAAGUUAUGGUCCUGAUUCAAUUAUAAAUCAAGCUGGCUUUGGAGCUGGAAUGUGGCUCUCUCCUUCUCUAAAUCCAAGCAUGUUGCUAAAAGAAAAAUUAGGAGAUUCUAUCUCAUAUCAGAAGGACUGACUAGUGUGGAACAGAAGAAAACCAAUAAUCUAGGGACCAUUGUUGUCAAGAUUCUAUUUCUCUCCAUGCUUAUGCUGGAUUUCUGGUAAUCCUUCCUCAUGUGUCUCAUCAUCAUAAAAUCCAAACUUUCCAUUUUGAUAUUGAUAAUGUUCAAUUUUUCCACAGUGAAGAAUAAGUCUUUCCAAUAGCAAUCUCUGAAGUCUCCGGAAGGAAGAUGGGGCCCCACAACAACAACUCUACUCGAUAUAGAAAGAUGCCAUUGAAUGCCACUCAAUGAUCAGCUCUGGACUGCAAACUCUUCAGGACAGUUCCAAGAUGAGAUGCUCCAUCAUAUUACACGUCUAGCCAGAACUUCAGAUAACCUUACCCAUUUCUCUGAGACUGGCUACAAACAUCACAAGUAGUCCUAUUAAGACAUAGACCUGGAGAUAAUGGCAUUUAAAUGUUUUGAUAACUCAGAAUUCUGUUGACAUGAGACACAAUUGUUCCUGGCAGCACCCAUCUGAUCCUGAGAGAAUGUUGGGCAUCUAAGACACUCCAUUUGCAAGUUUGUCUUCUUCUUGGCACAAAAUGGUUUUCUGGGCAAAGAACUGCCCUUGCCUUGACUGCUGACAGUAUGAACGCUGUCCUUUUCGGAUGAGCAGGACACAAGCAGGAACUUUGCCAAGACAGGUUAAGAUGGUCUUUCAAAAUUUCUGCUUCUGAAAUUGGUCUGUCAGAUAUUCUAGGACUGUAGCCAAAAUGGAUGCCCCAACAGCACUGAGAAUCUUUAGGUGACUGUCCAGGCUGCCAGCUGUCUUUGUCUGUUCUCGUAAUUUCUCAGAUAUUGCUUGUUUGCACUUCCUGUUUUCUCGGGUAAUAUUAUUUUCCUCCUCGGGUCUUUGAUGGGGUUGAAGACUAGAUAGUUACAGUUAUAAUACUUCCAUAUAUCUUAGCUAAAACCUUUUCAGAUACUAAAGUUAGAAUCUUUAGGAUAGGACAGCUGUUGGAGUAAUCUCUAUAUCAUGCCAUUUACAUACAUUCUGGACACUUCUGGAUUUUAGUAUGUGUUUCUUGUUUGAUGUUGUUCUUGCUGGUUGUAUUUCUAUUUUUGUUUAUGUUAUUACCUUUCCUCUCUCCUGUACAAUACUUGAUAAUUGUUCCUAUUGUGUUUAGUUUGUAUUAGGUUAGAACUUUCUUAUUUAGACAAAAGGGGGAGAUGGAGUGGAUAACUGUUCUGUCUAUGACCUUGAAGCACCACCCCUAGAGAUGUAGCAGGUAACUGCCCUAAGUACCUGACUCUGGGUGGCUUGGGGUUAUCCUUAAGACUCGAGAUGCACAUAGGUCUGCUCUCUUCACUCCCUUGUGGGACUUGGAUGCUGGACAGUCUCCAGGUAGAAGAACAGAGUGGGACCGUGCCUCACCUUUUCCAGGACCCUGCAACAACUCCUCUGUUCUGUCUUGUGAGUUUUCCUGUCUUAAUAAAUCCCUUUGCCCUUUCAGCAGACCCUGUGGAUUUCUCGCAUUACUUUUUCCAUCCGGGUUGGCAUGUUCCUGCCGUCAUCCUUGUUCAUCUCAUGUUUGGGCAGUCAUGAUAGUGAGACUUCACAGUUCUAGCUUCUGACAUUACAACGUGACAUAAUCUCACAGCGAACUCCCUGAUCCUCUGGCUCUUACAAUCUUCCUGCCCCCUCUUCAGCAAUGUGUCCUGAGCCUUAGGUGUGGGGGUGUUUUGUAGAUUUAUCCAUUGAGACUGGGCUCACAAUUCUGAAUUUUGGUUGGUAGUAAUUUUCUGUAGUGGUCUCUGUCUGUUGUAAAGUGGAAUUUCCUUGACAAGGGGUGAGGACUUCACUUACCUGUGGGUAUAAGGUCAAAUGUUUAUAGAUACUUGCUAGGGUUUAGUAAAUUUGUGGUUCUGGAUUCUCCUCUAAUAACCAGGAUCUCACUAGCACUGGUUAGUUAGGUUUCCGGUUCCAGGCAUGGUAGCCCUCUUGUUGAGCUGCAUGUAAGUCUGUGCACCACAAUUGUGCCUGACACAUGCAGAGGCCAGAAGCGGGCAUUGGAUCUGCUAGAACUGGAGUUACAGACAAUAGUGAGCUGUCAUGUGUGUGUUCUCAGACUUGAACCUGAGUCUUCCAGAAGAGCAGUUCGUGUCCUUAACUGCCGAGCCACCUAUCCAGGUGCCCAUUCACCCAGGGUCUUUCUACAUAGUCCUGGCUGUCUUGGAACUCACUAUGUAGAGCAGAUUGACCUUGAACUCACGGACAGAGAUCUUCCUGCCUCUGCCUUCCAAGGGGUGGGAUUAAAGACAUGAGUCACUGUACUUGGCUCACCAUUUUCUGUUUGAUUUUAACAGAAAAAUUAGGAACUAUAGAGAUGUUCAGUGGUUAAGGGUGCACACUACUUUUGCUAAGGACCCAGGUUACUUUCUCAGCAUUCAACUGCCGGUAAUUCCAGCUCUAGGAGAUCUGGCGCCCUCUUCUGACCUCACUUGGCACCGCACUCAUGCGCACAAACACAUAUACAGAUAAUUAAAAAGAGUAAAACCAAAAUUUGUUAAAAACAAGAAGACAAGGCACGGUACCAGUUUUGAUUUGCAGGUGAUACAGGUGCUACUAUACUUUUCUUUCCCUGACACAUUUCAUAAUUUAAAAAAUUAUGAGGAACAGUGGGAACUGGAAGUUUUGAAUGUAUAGCUACAUUGGACUUUGUUGCCCAGUGUCCUGCACUGUAGAGUGAUCAAUAUGGUCUGUUGUCUUUUAUCAGCACACCCUGACGCUGGCAGGGGAGGGUCAUUUUCCGAGGCCAUCUGUGGACUCCAAAGCCAACUGCUCCACUGCACUGCCCUGUAAUGGUGCUGCUGGGUAACCAACCAUCCGCUUGCAAUCCCUUGCAGCCUUCUGAGAGGUCUGAGCUCUGUCACCUCAUGGCCCCUCAUCUGUAUUCACAUGGCGGCGUCCAUGUUGAUUAGGAACUUCUGUCUCUUUUAGAAUACUAUUUCGUUUUGUACCCACAAACCCUCUGUGCUGUGCUCAUUCAGCCCUCCCAUGCCCCAACCUCUGGCAAUCACCAACUUCUCUUCUUUUCUCCUCUGCCCUUGUCCUUGCUGUCUUCUUAGCUCUGCUUUUCCCAGAAUGUCAGAGUUGGUGUCACACAGCCUUCCAGAUUCUGUCCUUUGACUUAGAGACGUGGGCCUCCUCUCUCCACCUCCUUUCAGGGUUUGAGAGUCCACUCCUUAUUCCAUUGUCCGAUGAGCUGUAACUUGCUGAUCCCAUUUACCUGGGAAGCACAUCCUGGCUGCUUCCAGAUUUUUUGCAAUUACGAAUAAAGCUAACCAUAAACACUC